rnacentral:lncRNA from 1 species
AAUAAAUAAAUAAAUAACAAAAAUUUGAUAAAUUGGAUUUAAUCAAGUUAAAAACUUCUCUUCAAAAGACAUUGUUAUGAGAGCAAAAAGAUAAGCAACAGUCUGGAAAUGAUAUUUGGGAUUCAUAUAUCCGAUAAAGGAUAUGUAUCGAGAAUAUGGAAAUCUCAAAAUCUAAUAAUAAGAAAACAAAAAAUCCCACUUAAAAGUGGACAAAAGAGUGGUACAGAUGCUUCAAAGAAGGCAAAUUAGAACAUAAGAUGCUCAUUAUCAUUAGUUAUCAGGGAAAUCAAAUUUAAAACCACAGUAAGAUACCACUGUGUACUUAUCAGAAAGGCUAAAUGUCAAAAGACUGUCCAUACCAAGUGUUGUUGAGAAUGUGGAGAAAUUGGAGCUCUCAUCCACUGCUGAUGUUGAUGUAAAAUUGUACUACUAUAUUGGAAAAUAACUUGGCAUUUCUCAAAAAGUUAUACUUUAUGAUCCAGCCAUCCUACUCUGAGGUGUUUACCCAAGACAAAUGAAAGUAUAUGUGCAUUAAAAUAUUUGCACACAAAUAUUCAUAGCAGCAUUAUUUGUCACUCAACAGGUAAAUGGAUAAAUUAUAGCACAUCCAUACAAUGGAAUGCUAUUCUGCAAUAGAAAGGAACAGACUAUUGAUAGAAAUGUGGUGCCUACCUCAGAAUGAAUCUUAAAAUAAUCAUGCUGCAGAAACAAGACAGACAAAAAAAGAAUACAUGCUGUAUGAUUUCACUUGUAUAAAAUUCUAGGAAAUGCAAACUAAUCUGUAGUGACAGAAAGCCAACCAGUGAGGAUGAGGUGGGGAGGGAUUAUGAAGAACAAGAGGAAAGCUCUGGGGAUGAAGGAGAAGCUCACGGUCUUGGUGAUGGUUUCGUGGGUGUAAACAUAUGUCAAAUCUUAUCAAGUUGUAUACUUUAAAUAUGUACAGUGUAUUCAUGUGAAUUAUAUUUCAUAAAGCUGUUAAGUAUAGUUGAGUCUUAAUGAGGCAUAUACCAAAAACAACAAAAAUUCUUGAACCUUGUCCUUGAUCUACUGAUACACAUUACCUGGGAGGGAGGCUCAAGGCUGCAGUUUUGCAGUUCUGACACACACACCACCACUUGAAAGCCUCUGGUCCAUGGAGCUGAAAUUCCUCCCAGUGGCCUUGCCAGGCUCCCUUUUUCUCUACCUGCUUCCCAUGAAAGCCUCAGGUUUCCCAGUCCCCAUUUCAUUCUCUGAGCUCCGGCCCACCCAGCUGUCUGAGGUUCCCUGACGGGCCCAGGCUCUUGGCCUCUGGGCCUUUGUAGCUGCUGUGUCCUCCCCCUGGAGCACCCCUGUGCUCUUCUUCAGUUGACUGGUUCCCAAUGGUGCUUCAAAACCCUGCUCAGGAGGCACCACCUCUGGAACGCCUUCCGGACACCCCGCCCCAGGUUGGAGGCUCCAUCUUUUCCACUAGCUUUCCCUGUGAACCUCUCCGAACUUUGGUUUCUUGAUCUCUAAACUGAGCUUAAAAAUAAUGCCUACCUCACAGGAUUGUUUUGAAGACUCAAUGAGAUAAUGUAAACUUUUUAGCAUAGUUGUUGGUGCAUAUUAGAAUUCAACAAACAGUGGCCACUCUGGUGUGGCUGGUGCUAUUAUUAUUCUCCAUCACUCUUGUCAUCUUCUCCUCCUUGUGUCCCUGGAGGCCUCUGAAAAUGUCCCACAGAGCACACUGGUGGCUGCUGUUCAGUCACUUGUCUGCUUCCUCCCCUAGACCAUGACUUCCCUGAGGACAGGGGUGCACCACAAGCAUUCAGUGAGUUCAGUCCACAACACUUAUUGAGCAGCCUCUGGGAGCCAGACCCUAUCCCAGGUGCUGGGGACACAAAAAUUAGGAGGAAGGCAAUGAACAUCAGAAGUGAAGGUGGCAGAGAGGUGCCAGAGGGGAGUGUUAGGAGCACAGAUUUCUGAGCCAUCUGCUCCAUCACAUGUAGCUGUGUGACUUUAGAUAAGAUACUUAACCUCUCUGUUCCUCAGUUGCCUCAUCUGUAAAAGGUGGGGGGUAAAUAAUGCCUAUCUUGCUAGGUUGUUGUAUCAUUUUCUUUUCUUUCCUUUUUUUUUUUUUUUGAGAUGGAGUCUUGCUUUGUCUCCAAGGCUGGAGUGCUGUGGCAUGAUCUCAGCUCACUGCAACCUCCGCCUCCUGGGUUCAAGCACUUCUCCUGCCUCAGCCUCCCGAGUAGCUGGGACUACAGGUGCACACCACCAUGCCUGACUAAUUUUUGUAUUUUUAGUAGAGAUGGGGUUUCACCAUGUUGGUGUGGCCAAGGCUGGUCUCGAACUCCUGACCUCAGGUGAUCCGCCCACCUCGGCCUCCCAAAGUGCUGGGAUUACAGGUUUGAGCCACCGUGCCUGGCCUGUAUCAUUUUAUUUCAUGUUAACACAUAGUCUUGCUCAACUAGGUAAUACUUUUUUUUUUUUUUUUUUUUGAGAUAAUCUCACUCUGUCGCCCAGGCUGGAGUGCAGUGGUGUGAUCUCGGCUCACUGCAACUGCCGCCUCCUGGGUUCAAGCGAUUCUCCUGCCUCAGCCUCCUGAGUAGCUGGGAUUACAGGCGCCCGCCACCACACCCAGCUAAUUUGUGUAUUUUUAGUAGAGACGGGGUUUCACCAUGUUGGCCAGGCUGGUCUGAACUCCUGACCUCAGGCGAUCCGCCCACCUCGGCCUCCCAGAGUUCUGAGAUUACAGGCGUGAGCCACCGCGCCCGGCCCAAUGAGAUAAUAUCUGUAAAACAUUCAGAACAAAGGACACUGAGUAUCCACUGGAUUUGGCAGUUAGCAGUGCAUCAGAGAGAUGUGGAGAGAGCUGCUUUAGAGGAAGCAGAAGCCAAAGUGCAGGGAUGGGGAAGUGAGUGACUGGAAGGGAUGAGAAAGGGGAGUGGAGACAGCCCCCUGAGAGCUAUUGGGCGCAACAAGAGAGAGGGUAGUUUGAUGGAGAGGGCGUUAUUGACAGGAAGGUGCCAGUAGGAUGGGAGUGACUGCAGAUACAGGAGAGACGAAGGAGAACAGA